UACAGAGGGUGCGAGCGUUGUCCGGAAUCACUGGGCGUAAAGAGCUCGUAGGCGGCUUGUCGCGUCGUCCGUGAAAACUUGGGGCUCAACCCCAAGCUUGCGGUCGAUACGGGCAGGCUCGAGUUCGGUAGGGGAGACUGGAAUUCCUGGUGUAGCGGUGAAAUGCGCAGAUAUCAGGAGGAACACCGGUGGCGAAGGCGGGUCUCUGGGCCGAUACUGACGCUGAGGGGCGAAAGCGUGGGGAGCGAACGGG
rnacentral:rRNA from 1 species